rnacentral:lncRNA from 1 species
AUGACAAAAACCUUCUCCGGCAAGCAGCGGAUGAUGGCGAGCAUCGCUUGGCAGCGUUGCAUCGUCUACGGACUCAGGCGGCUCAACGACGUCCCCGGCAACUCCGACGAGAUGGCUUGCGACGUAGCUGGAGCUGGUGACGCCUUGCGGGCACCGAGUAGUGACGCUCCGGCCGGCAUUCUCCUCGAGCAACCAGCCGAUGAGUUCGAAGAAGAUGGUAACGUCGACGAGAGCGAGCGGACGUCAGUAAUUGUAGGGGAGGCUGCGACCGGCAAGGCGACGACGUCCAACGUAACUGAUGAUUCUGCUCAACUGCCAGUCAUGUUUGCUGGGAUUGUUGUGAAGGACAUUGUAAAGGUAGCCAUGUUGGUUGUGGCACAACCUCAAAGCUGUAUAAAUAUUCUGAUGAAGCUGUCGAUAAACGUACUACAGUCGAACACCGAGAGGCCGGUGUACUACAUAUUCCAUUUUUUAGUGCACAACCUCAAAGCUGUAUACUAUGGCCUGGUUUAGGGGGGUGUUA